GAUGAACGCUGGCGGCGUGCCUAAUACAUGCAAGUCGAGCGAACGGACGAGAAGCUUGCUUCUCUGAUGUUAGCGGCGGACGGGUGAGUAACACGUGGAUAACCUACCUAUAAGACUGGGAUAACUUCGGGAAACCGUAGCUAAUACCGGAUAAUAUUUUGAACCGCAUGGUUCAAAAGUGAAAGACGGUCUUGCUGUCACUUAUAGAUGGAUCCGCGCUGCAUUAGCUAGUUGGUAAGGUAACGGCUUACCAAGGCAACGAUGCAUAGCCGACCUGAGAGGGUGAUCGGCCACACUGGAGCUGAGACACGGUCCAGACUCCUACGGGAGGCAGCAGUAGGGAAUCUUCCGCAAUGGGCGAAAGCCUGACGGAGCAACGCCGCGUGAGUCAUGAAGGUCUUCGGAUCGUAAAACUCUGUUAUUAGGGAAGAACAUAUGUGUAAGUAACUGUGCACAUCUUGACGGUACCUAAUCAGAAAGCCACGGCUAACUACGUG
rnacentral:rRNA from 1 species